ensembl:lncRNA
GUCCUGCGUUUGAGUGUGGUCUGCUGCACUACCCGGUUGUCUGGACUAAGUUGCUGUUAACCCUGUAGAGGACUGCCUGGGCAAGAUGGCUCUCCAAGCCCAGCUUGGCUGCUUGCCUCUUUCUAUGAUGAAGGCCUACCAUGGGCAGAGGCAGCAGUAAGCGUAUCACUGGGGAAUGGGGCCAGAGAGCCAUUUGGCCAGGAUCUCCAAUUUAGGCCUCGAAAUUAUCUCCAAAUAAGGGUUUGCAUUGUGUCAGAUCCACUCUCUGAUUGAUCAAAGACUCUCCUUUGAUAUCUUUAAACUUGUGCCCUAUGAUGAGACCACUGUGCCUGCGGAACACUGUAAAUUAUUAUUAUUAUUAUUUUGGUACCGGGAAUUGAACUCAGGGCCUCAUGCUUGCCAGGCAGGCACUGCACCACUGUGUACAUUAUUGUAUUUUAAUAAAUCUUAUAAUAAUCCUGUGAGCAGCACAAUAAUGUACAUUUUUAGUAUCAGAAGCAUUAAAUCGUUAAAACAUUAAAAAUUGUC